CAGUAGCCGCGGGAAAACAGAGGGUGCGAGCGUUAAUCGGAUUUACUGGGCGUAAAGCGUGCGUAGGCGGCUUCUUAAGUCGGAUGUGAAAUCCCUGAGCUUAACUUAGGAAUUGCAUUCGAUACUGGGAAGCUAGAGUAUGGGAGAGGAUGGUAGAAUUCCAGGUGUAGCGGUGAAAUGCGUAGAGAUCUGGAGGAAUACCGAUGGCGAAGGCAGCCAUCUGGCCUAAUACUGACGCUGAGGUACGAAAGCAUGGGGAGCAAACAGGAUUAGAUACCCCGGUAGUCCCUGUCUCUUAUAC
rnacentral:rRNA from 1 species